AUUUCUUAGACCAAAGAGAGGAAAUCCACUGGAGACUUACCUAACAAGACGUAUUGAUGAAUGUAGAAUCUUAAAGGAAAAAUAAGUCAGUGGAUGUGGCUUCCUGGACUGUGAGCUUGGACCAAAAAUAAAGCAAGCCCUCACCGCAGGGGUUUGGCUCAGCCCCGCGCCUGCGGCAGACGUUGUUUUCCAUGGCUUUGCUUGAGAAGUUCACUUCUCUGGGCAAAAGUUCCUGAGGCCUUUGGAGACUUUUAAAGGCCUUUUUUUUUUUUUUUUUUUUUUUUCCCUGUAGCUUUUAUUGUUUUUAAGAAAAGUGGUGUCACCCUUACUUGUCAUUAAAAAAAAGUACUGUGGGAAAAACAAAUAAACUACCCAAAGAAUAAAACAAGAAAAACCAAAACAACUCCCCUAAAUGAAUGAAAAAAUGUAUACCCUUCACUCUUUUGCAAGAUAACUAUUUCCAUGCAAGUUGGAUUAGAAACUAUGAGAAGAUUUUUCUCUUUGAUUUUUGGUUUCUUCUAUUUUUAACAUUUUUGGCAAGUCUACACAUUGUGGUUACAUAAAAACAUCAGGAUUAAGAUAUUUGGUAUUUAAAAAGCACCCUUGGACUGGGGAUGAGUCUUUCUGGCACAGCUGUGAGAGUGCUUGAAUUCCUUUCAUAAAAUAAUAGGUGUUAAUGUCCAAUCAACAUAAGCUUUUUGGCCAGCUUCUCCCAGUGUCCCUCAAGAAGCCUCCUAAACAUGUUCCUGCCCUCGUGAAAGGCCCAUCUGUCUGCUUGGUGGCUGGAGGGAGGUGCCCUGCCUCAGGUGCCCCUCCUCAGGAGGGACGGCUCCUGCUGUCCCUCACACCCAGGAUGUGGUCAAGGACUUUUUCUGCCGUUCUUACUGCUGGAAAUGCAGCUCUUCAGAUGACCACUUUUCUAUCCUGCCUAUUCGCCUCAGGAAAUGACUCUUGGCCCACGGACCACUGGAUAUGCCAGGACAGGCGUGUCAGACUCCCUAGCUCAGGGAGUUCUUAAACCCUGGGGAGCAGAAGAGUCCACACAUCCACUGGUGAGGGGUGGGAAGCUAGAGUCUGCAUUUUAAACUUGCACCCUAGGUGCAAGUGAUCUUGGUCUUUCUGCCGUUUCCGAGUGUCCGCAGGAGACCCAGGAGGAACUUACUAGUUGGUCAGUGGACAGAUGGUUCAGGGUGAGAGGGGGUUGUAUUUUUUCCUUCAGCAGCCACCACCUUCUACCAGAGCCACCAGAGCUCAAGAGGGGAAAAGUGAAAGAGAAAAAAACAAACAAACAAAAAAUAAAAGGCCAGGGGUAAGUGGUGCUGGGGGAAGAGUAUGGAACUCAAGAAUAGCAAGUCAAACCCAUAAAUAUUUGCUGAGAAGCAAGGGUUCUAAAUGAGUGCAGUAUGGAUGGCAGAAACAAAGCCAAAUUAGGGAAGGGUCAGGAGAGAAGAGAAGGGGAAGGGGUGGGCUGAACCUCCACCAGAGGUGGCAGCUUGUGUUUGAAGCCUGCUUUGAUGGGCCCACAGGGCUAACAGAUGGGUGGGUGGGCCCUGAUUGUAGAUGGGCCAGAAGUUGGGGGUGAACUGUGGGAAUAACCAACAAAUCAGACUGUUUAGGUACAAAGGAAGGGCUACAGAUUCAGAGCUUUGGAGCAAAGGAGAGACAAGAGUCACUUCCUAACAGCAUGGUAGGGAGGAGUCGCCUGGAGGCUGGAAGAUUAUGGCAGGUGGAAGGCAAAAGAAAGGGCAGGUGCAGGGAUUUAGCCACUGACAAGUGCAGUCAGCAUUAGGGGUCUGAUGAGUUGUCCGACUGAUUGAGCGAAACCUGAAAGUUCUCAGAGGUGUUUCAGUGGCUUUUGAGAGGAGCAGACAGCCUGCCUCAGCUGCAGAAGAGAUAAAUAAUUUUUAUUUAUUUUCAUAAAAUUGAGGUCCUGCAUAGCAUUCCAUUUGGAGGAACAAAGGAGCUAUAUGACUUUAAGAGGCUUAAAAACCACCAGGAGUAUGAAUAAUAUCUAUAUCUACAUCUCUCUAUGUAUCUAAAAAGACAGUUAAGUUGGGGUAGUUUUCUUUUUUUCUUUUAAGAGACAGGGUCUCACUCUGUGCCCUGGCUGUUAUGCAGUGACAUGAUUAUAGUUCAUUGCGGCCUUGAACUCCUAGGCUCAUGUGAUCCUCCUCCUGCCUCAGCCUCCCAGAUAGCUGGGACCAUAGGUGUGUGCCACCGUGCCAGGCUAAUUUUGUUUUGUUUUGUUGUGUUUUAUUUUGUAGAGAUGGCUGGGGGAGGGGGCAGGUGUUGCUUUGUUGCCCAGGCUGGUCUCUAAUUCCUGGCUUCAAGUGAUCCUCCUGCCUUGGCUUCCCAAAGUGCUGAAAUUCUAGGUGUCAGCUACCACACCUGGCACGAAAAGGGAGGGGGGCAAUUUUGAAGGGCUAUUAAGUGUCAGACUUGCUGAAGUAUUUGAGAGAUCCAUUGCCUCGUGGAAAGAACACUGGCACGGAGGUUGAGGCUUUGUUUUCAGCCCCAGGUCUGUCCUAACUAUGAACCUUUACAUAUUCACUUCGGUUUUCUGGGCACUAGGUGUUUGGUUUUUGUUUUUAAUAAAUUAAGAGGCUCUGUUGAAUUAAGUGAUUUUCAAAAGUUCUUCCUGCUCUACAGUCCUGUCAACCAUGACCUUGCUAUCAGGCCUCCCUAGCAGAUGCACACGGAAUGGGUAGCAGGAUCAAAGUUUGAGGAAAAUUAAUGUCGUGGUGUUGUGUGGGAUGAUUGAGGGAGACAGGUUAGGGGCCAGGAUGCUGUCAUUGAAGGGGACAAAGGCAACGAGAGUAGAUGCAACAGUGACAGAAGCUUGGGCAAAGACACCAAAGUCACAGAAGUUGAGUUUGCACUAAAGGAGGUGAGAUGAUACAUUUUUGUCUCGUAUUAGAAAAAAAAUUCCCAGCCAGGCACCGUGACUCAUCCCUGUAAUCCCAGCAUCUAGGGAGGCUGAGGCAGGAGCAUUGCUUGAGCCCAGGAGUUCAAGACCAGCCUGGGCAACAUGGCAAGACCCCCACCUCUACAAAAAAAGAAAAAUUCCCAAGUUGAUUAGCUUGCUCUCUUCCCCAUUAUUUUUUCCUCUGAAGUAUAUUUUUAAAACUUAUUUUUUAAGCAAAGCACAAAGGUAGAGGUCUUUGGAUGGUAUUGCAAAGAUCUUUACAAAGGUCUACCAUGACUUUUUAAACAUUGUUUUAAGUGAGUGGGCAUGCUUCCAAAGGAGCUGACUUUUCACUGAAUGCUAGAAAAUGAAAACACGGGAGCUGUUUAGAUUGGCCUGGGAAACAUCAUGUCCAGUAGCCACUGUUGAUCUUUGCGUGAAGCAGUUCUGUUUUCUGAAAAGAUUCCUUUUGUCCAUUGUCUCAUUAUGAUUAUAGGAGCCUAGUCCUCUCAACUGGAGAAAGAACUGUU
rnacentral:lncRNA from 1 species